rnacentral:rRNA from 1 species
AAUGCAUAGAUAUCACGCAGAACUCCGAUUGCGAAGGCAGCUUACUAAGGUACAACUGACGCUGAAGCACGAAAGCGUGGGUAUCAAACAGGAUUAGAUACCCUGGUAGUCCGCACGGUAAACGAUGGAUGCCCGCUGUUAGCGCCUGGCGUUAGCGGCUAAGCGAAAGCAUUAAGCAUCCCACCUGGGGAGUACGCCGGCAACGGUGAAACUCAAAGGAAUUGACGGGGGCCCGCACAAGCGGAGGAUGAUGUGGAUUAAUUCGAUGCAACGCGAAGAACCUUACCUGGUCUUGACAU